GUCUGCAACCCGACUACAUGAAGCUGGAAUCGCUGUAAUCGCGGAUCAGAAUGCCGCGGUGAAUACGUUCCCGGGUCUUGUACACACCGCCCGUCACACCAUGGGAGUCGGAAAUGCCCGAAGUCAGUGACCCAACCGUAAGGAGGGAGCUGCCGAAGGUGGAGCCGGUAACUGGGGUGAAGUCGUAACAAGGUACC
rnacentral:rRNA from 1 species